rnacentral:rRNA from 1 species
UGGGGAAUAUUGCACAAUGGGCGCAAGCCUGAUGCAGCAACGCCGCGUGAGGGAUGACGGCCUUCGGGUUGUAAACCUCUUUUAGCAGGGAAGAAGCGAAAGUGACGGUACCUGCAGAAAAAGCGCCGGCUAACUACGUGCCAGCAGCCGCGGUAAUACGUAGGGCGCAAGCGUUAUCCGGAAUUAUUGGGCGUAAAGAGCUCGUAGGCGGUUUGUCGCGUCUGCUGUGAAAUCCCGAGGCUCAACCUCGGGUCUGCAGUGGGUACGGGCAGACUAGAGUGCGGUAGGGGAGAUUGGAAUUCCUGGUGUAGCGGUGGAAUGCGCAGAUAUCAGGAGGAACACCGAUGGCGAAGGCAGAUCUCUGGGCCGUAACUGACGCUGAGGAGCGAAAGGGUGGGGAGCAAACAGGCUUAGAUACCCUGGUAGUCCACCCCGUAAACGUUGGGAACUAGUUGUGGGGUCCAUUCCACGGAUUCCGUGACGCAGCUAACGCAUU